ACCUGCUUCUGGAUCAUU
rnacentral:rRNA from 1 species